UUUGGUUAAGUUAGAAAGGGCGCACGGUGGAUGCCUUGACACUAGGAGUCGAUGAAGGACGGGACUAACGCCGAUAUGCUUCGGGGAGCUGUAAGUAAGCUUUGAUCCGAAG
rnacentral:rRNA from 1 species